UGAAAACCUGAUCCAAAGUCCACUGAAGUCAAUGGAAAGACUUCCAUUGACUUCAGUGGGCUUUGGAUCAGGCCCUUCA
rnacentral:pre_miRNA from 1 species